GACGUAGGGCGCGAGCGUUGUCCGGAUUUAUUGGGCGUAAAGAGCUCGUAGGCGGCUUGUCGCGUCGAAUGUGAAAACUCGGGGCUCAACUCCGAGCUUGCAUUCGAUACGGGCAGGCUAGAGUUCGGUAGGGGAGACUGGAAUUCCUGGUGUAGCGGUGAAAUGCGCAGAUAUCAGGAGGAACACCAGCGGCGAAGGCGGCGCUCUGGGCCGGUACUGACACUGAGGAGCGAAAGCGUGGGUAGCAAACAGG
rnacentral:rRNA from 1 species